rnacentral:rRNA from 1 species
UCGAGCGAACAGAUAAGGAGCUUGCUCCUUUGACGUUAGCGGCGGACGGGUGAGUAACACGUGGAUAACCUACCUAUAAGACUGGGAUAACUUCGGGAAACCGGAGCUAAUACCGGAUAACAUAUUGAACCGCAUGGUUCAAUAGUGAAAGGCGGCUUUGCUGUCACUUAUAGAUGGAUCCGCGCCGUAUUAGCUAGUUGGUAAGGUAACGGCUUACCAAGGCAACGAUACGUAGCCGACCUGAGAGGGUGAUCGGCCACACUGGAACUGAGACACGGUCCAGACUCCUACGGGAGGCAGCAGUAGGGAAUCUUCCGCAAUGGGCGAAAGCCUGACGGAGCAACGCCGCGUGAGUGAUGAAGGUCUUCGGAUCGUAAAACUCUGUUAUCAGGGAAGAACAAAUGUGUAAGUAACUGUGCACAUCUUGACGGUACCUGAUCAGAAAGCCACGGCUAACUACGUGCCAGCAGCCGCGGUAAUACGUAGGUGGCAAGCGUUAUCCGGAAUUAUUGGGCGUAAAGCGCGCGUAGGCGGUUUUUUAAGUCUGAUGUGAAAGCCCACGGCUCAACCGUGGAGGGUCAUUGGAAACUGGAAAACUUGAGUGCAGAAGAGGAAAGUGGAAUUCCAUGUGUAGCGGUGAAAUGCGCAGAGAUAUGGAGGAACACCAGUGGCGAAGGCGACUUUCUGGUCUGUAACUGACGCUGAUGUGCGAAAGCGUGGGGAUCAAACAGGAUUAGAUACCCUGGUAGUCCACGCCGUAAACGAUGAGUGCUAAGUGUUAAGGGGGUUUCCGCCCCCUUAGUGCUGCAGCUAACGCAUUAAGCACUCCGCCUUGGGGGAGUACGACCGCCAAGGUUGAAACUCAAAGGAAUUGACGGGGGACCCGCACAAGCGGUGGAGCAUGUGGUUUAAUUCGAAGCAACGCGAAGAACCUUACCAAAUCUUGACAUCCUUUGACCGCUCUAGAGAUAGAGUCUUCCCCUUCGGGGGACAAAGUGACAGGUGGUGCAUGGUUGUCGUCAGCUCGUGUCGUGAGAUGUUGGGUUAAGUCCCGCAACGAGCGCAACCCUUAAGCUUAGUUGCCAUCAUUAAGUUGGGCACUCUAAGUUGACUGCCGGUGACAAACCGGAGGAAGGUGGGGAUGACGUCAAAUCAUCAUGCCCCUUAUGAUUUGGGCUACACACGUGCUACAAUGGACAAUACAAAGGGCAGCUAAACCGCGAGGUCAAGCAAAUCCCAUAAAGUUGUUCUCAGUUCGGAUUGUAGUCUGCAACUCGACUACAUGAAGCUGGAAUCGCUAGUAAUCGUAGAUCAGCAUGCUACGGUGAAUACGUUCCCGGGUCUUGUACACACCGCCCGUCACACCACGAGAGUUUGUAACACCCGAAGCCGGUGUGAGUAACCAUUUAUGGA